rnacentral:rRNA from 1 species
GACGUAAGAGGACCCGCUGAAUUUAAGCAUAUAACUAAGCGGAGGAAAAGAAACUAACCAGGAUUCCCUCAGUAAGGGCGACUGAAGCGGGAACAGCCCAGAUUGGAAAUCGGCGAUCGCCACAGAUCGCGGAGUUGUAAUCUACAGAGGCGACGCCAGGCGAGUUCCGUGGAGAAGUUCCUUGGAACAGGGCAUCGUAGAGGGUGACAAUCCCGUGUCUGCCUCGGAAUAAGCCGUACGGCGCGUCUUCGACGAGUCGAGUUGCUUGGGACUGCAGCUCUAACAGGUGGUAAAUUCCAUCUAAGGCUAAAUACGGGUGGGAGACCGAUAGCGAACAAGUACCGUGAGGGAAAGAUGCAAAGAACUUUGAAAAGAGAGUUAAAAAGGGCCUGAAACUGGUAAGAGGGAACCGAACGGCCGAAGUGUUGUGUUCGUC